rnacentral:rRNA from 1 species
AUUGAACGCUGGCGGCGCGCUUAACACAUGCAAGUCGAUCGGUAACAGGUGUAGCAAUACAUGCUGACGAGAGGCGGACGGGUGAGGAACGCUUGGGAUCUGCCUAUCAGCGGGGGACAACCCGGGGAAACCCGGGCUAAUACCGCAUACGCUCUACGGAGGAAAGCCGGGGACCGCAAGGCCUGGCACUGAUAGAUGAGCCCAAGUCGGAUUAGCUAGUUGGCGGGGUAACGGCCCACCAAGGCGACGAUCCGUAGCUGGUCUGAGAGGACGAUCAGCCACACCGGAACUGAGACACGGUCCGGACUCCUACGGGAGGCAGCAGUGGGGAAUAUUGGACAAUGGGCGAAAGCCUGAUCCAGCGACGCCGCGUGGGUGAAGAAGGCCUGCGGGUUGUAAAGCCCUUUCGGUAGGGACGAAAGCUCUCGACCUAACACGUCGGGAGGUUGACUUAACCUACAAAAGAAGCACCGGCUAACUCUGUGCCAGCAGCCGCAGUAACAC